CACAAAUCAUUCUAUACCCGUCAUUAUAAACCGUCGCUGGUUCUCUUUGUUCCUUUAUCUAACACCCUUCACACCAACAAAUAACUCUCUCUCAAAAGUUACCUUUGCAACCAUGACGAGCUCCUCUACAACGACCCGCAAGGCACUGAGUAAGAUUGCUUGCAAUCGGCUUCAGAAAGAACUUGUUGAGUGGCAAGUCAAUCCUCCAACUGGUUUCAAACAUAAAGUCACUGAUAAUCUCCAAAGGUGGGUUAUUGAAGUAAUUGGAGCUCCGGGCACCCUUUAUGCAAAUGAGACCUAUCAGCUUCAAGUUGAUUUCCCUGAGCAUUACCCGAUGGAAGCUCCUCAGGUUAUAUUUCUUCAUCCGGCUCCGCUCCAUCCGCAUAUUUAUAGCAAUGGCCAUAUUUGUUUAGAUAUACUAUAUGAUUCUUGGUCACCUGCCAUGACUGUUAGUUCUGUCUGCAUCAGUAUUCUCUCGAUGCUUUCAAGCUCCACUGUGAAGGUUUGAUUUUAUGGUCAAUUUUCUAGAGCCAUUCUUUCCAGUUAAUAUGGAUUUUGUGUUCAUUGUGCUCCUAUUGACUGCUGGCAGCAACGUCCCGAGGAUAAUGACCGAUAUGUAAAGAACUGUAGAAAUGGAAGAUCUCCGAAGGAGACCAGGUGGUGGUUCCAUGAUGAUAAAGUGUAACAACUGAAGCAUUUCCAUGCUUGCUAGUUCAAAUAAUCAUGGUAGAUGGUCGCUUUUUUCCAAAGAAAAAUGUAAACUUGGGGGAAUGCAUUUUGAAAACCAAAUCUUUCUGAAUGCUAAUUAACUCCUGUAAAUGCCAGGUGUGUAAAGGAAGAGAAACAAUGUGUUCUAGUAAUUUGAGACACAAACUUGGCUCGUUGUUACCCAGCCGUAGAUCUUUGUUGUGGUGCCAUAAUUGGCACAUGAUUGAAACCCUUCAAUCCAUCUGCAACCAUUUCUCCAA